AGAUGAGUGGCUCCACACCACAGGGCCACACCUGCCCAGACUUACUGUGGCAGCCCAGUACAGCUGGAAAAAUAUGGGGAUGCUGGCAGCUGUGGUUAGUUGUGGGAGGAAUCGGAAAUGGUGGGGCAGAGGAAGAUCGGCGCUGGAAUUUAAACCCAGGUGUGGCAGCCACUCGGGGUCUUUUUGGGACCAUGCAGCUUGGGAAGAGAAGAACCACGGACUUCUAUUUCUUUUUCUGAGGGGCAUCCCUCCUGCUGACCUGCUCCCUGCCUGUCCUCUGCUGGGAGCUGGCCUUGGGACAGCCUGGGAGUACAGCUCUGGCUGUGGACCAUGUGAUACAGACAAGCAGGACUGAUGCAUGGUGUAUAAGAAGGCUGCAUUUCCCUGUGCCCCUUGCUUCUGGAUGGGGCCAUACGAUUAGUUCUGGCCACUGGGAUGUCACUUCCUGGCCCAGCUUCUGGAACUUCCCUCAAUCUCCACAGCUGCUCUCCCUGUGUGUGAGGUUGCAGUCUGAAUGCAGAGGGCUCAGCAGAGGUCCCCAAGGCGAUGGAGAAGCCACAAGGUGGAAGGGUCCACCCAACCAGGAAUACCCACUUUGUUUAUGUGUGGGGGGAAGCCACUGAGAUUUAGGUUUGUUGUAGCCAUUAGUCCACCCUGACUGAUGCAGAAAUUGGUAAAGGAAGUGGUGUCUUGCUGAAAUAAAAUCCUACAAUCUGUGACACUGGCUUAGUAGUAGGUGGUAAGCAGUGAGGAGGCUAUACUGGGGGCUGGAGGAAUAGAGAUCCAUGUUAUUAGAGAAAACCAUUUGAUGAAAUGAUCGCUUUUUGAAAUGUGAGAAGACCACUUGCCUAAUGAGUCCUAGGUACCAGGGGAAAAGAUGGGGCGCAGAGUCUCAGUAUGUGUAGCUGUCACUGGCUGUGAUGACAAGGUAUUGCCAUGGUCAUAUAUAUUCAGGAAAGACUUCACCAGUAUAAAAGUAGAAAUGAAAGAAAGUUGAGAGAUUCUGGAAACUUGGCAACUGGAAGGAAGGGAAAGGUUGAUAUUUUUAAAGCCCUAAGUAAGAAGAAAUGGGAUUUUUAAAAACUUUGAGCAACAAAGGCUUAGUAAAAUGAAUUAAUUGAAUAAAACACUCAGGGCAGCCCUGGCCAGGUAGCUCAGUUGGUUAGAGCAUCAUCCCUAUGCACCAAGGUUUCAGGUUCAGUCCCCAGUCAGAGC